UACGAAGGGGGCUAGCGUUGCUCGGAAUUACUGGGCGUAAAGGGCGCGUAGGCGGAUAUUUAAGUCGGGGGUGAAAGCCCAGGGCUCAACCCUGGAAUAGCCUUCGAUACUGGAUAUCUUGAGUUCGGGAGAGGUGAGUGGAACUCCGAGUGUAGAGGUGAAAUUCGUAGAUAUUCGGAAGAACACCAGCGGCGAAGGCGACUCACUGGCCCGAUACUGACGCUGAAGCGCGAAAGCGUGGGGAGCAAACAGG
rnacentral:rRNA from 1 species